rnacentral:rRNA from 1 species
UACGGAGGGUGCAAGCGUUAUCCGGAUUCACUGGGUUUAAAGGGUGCGUAGGUGGAUUAGUAAGUCAGUGGUGAAAUCUCCGGGCUUAACCCGGAAACUGCCAUUGAUACUAAUAGUCUUGAAUACCGUGGAGGUCAGCGGAAUAUGUCAUGUAGCGGUGAAAUGCUUAGAUAUGACAUAGAACACCAAUUGCGAAGGCAGCUGGCUACACGAGCAUUGACACUCAGGCACGAAAGCGUGGGGAUCAAACAGG